CUGAUGGGGACUGGCUGCCAGAUAAACCAACAAUGUGUUUAGAGAGUUGGAAAUUUCAGUCCCACCCCCUAGCCCCAGCCCACCACCAGGGAGGGGAGUGGGCUGAAGGUUGAACUGAUCACCAAUGGUCAGUGAUAAUAUCCACCCUGCCUGUGCAAUGAAGCCUCCAAAAAUCCUAUUGGACUGGGUUCAGAGACCUUCCAGAUAGUGGAACAA
rnacentral:lncRNA from 1 species